GUCGAACGGCAGCACAGCCGGGUAACCGGUGGGUGGCGAGUGGCGGACGGGUGAGUAACACGUAGGAAUCUGCCUGGUAAUGGGGGAUAACCCGGGGAAACUCGGGCUAAUACCGCAUACGCUCUAAGGAGGAAAGCGGGGGACCUUCGGGCCUCGCGUUAUCAGAUGAGCCUGCGUCCGAUUAGCUAGUUGGCGGGGUAAGGGCCCACCAAGGCGACGAUCGGUAGCUGGUCUGAGAGGACGAUCAGCCACACUGGAACUGAGACACGGUCCAGACUCCUACGGGAGGCAGCAGUGGGGAAUAUUGGACAAUGGGCGCAAGCCUGAUCCAGCAAUGCCGCGUGUGUGAAGAAGGCCUGCGGGUUGUAAAGCACUUUAAGCGGGAAAGAAGGCUUCAAGGCUAAUACCCUUGGAGAUUGACGUUACCCGCAAAUAAGCACCGGCUAACUCCGUGCCAGCAGCCGCGGUAAUACGGAGGGUGCGAGCGUUAAUCGGAAUUACUGGGCGUAAAGCGCGCGUAGGCGGUCGAUUAAGUCAGCCGUGAAAGCCCCGGGCUUAACCUGGGAACUGCGGUUGAUACUGGUUGGCUAGAGUGUGGCAGAGGGUGGCGGAAUUUCCGGUGUAGCAGUGAAAUGCGUAGAGAUCGGAAGGAACACCAGUGGCGAAGGCGGCCAUCUGGGCCAACACUGACGCUGAGGUGCGAAAGCGUGGGGAGCAAACAGGAUUAGAUACCCCUGGUAGUCCACGCGGU
rnacentral:rRNA from 1 species